AAAGAACUGAAUCCUUCUCUGGAUACUCGACAAGUUAUCUAGUGACCUGCAGAUUUAUAGAAUGUUCCAUUACUUCUCCUUCUCAACAGGAAACCAAGCAUUCAGUUUUCCAACUACCAGACUUCCUUUUAUUUUCCUGGCCAACCUCCUCUAGUGUCUACAACAGACUUUCCUUUCUCUUCUAUAUCUUGGACACAUUUUAAGCCUUUCUUCCCAGCAUACUUCAGAAAAUACAUAAUUAUGAAUGCCAAACAGCUCUUACCACAAAGAGACUAGGAUCUGCGAGCAGUCAGGAGCCACGUGCUUUCCUUUAGCCAGCUGACAUGGAAGACAUCAGCUUUUUGGACAGGUUUCCUCCCAUCAAAUGUUACCAAGAAUUUCUUUCAACCCACCAAGAUCAACUGCUCAUCUCAAGGACCUAACUUGAAUAAAUCCUUUUGUCAGGUUAUCAGUGAUCUACCAGGGCAUCACAUUUGAAUGCCAGGAGCUAUUAGGGACUUUGCUGUAAAAAUAUACUGCAUGUGUUCAACAGUGGUGUUCCCAAAUGAAAUAACUCCUCAAACUUCCAUCUCAGCUUAAUUUUAGUUUCUCAGUGUCAAAAUCUAAUGUUGUGUUUGAUUAAUAAUUGUUGACUAAAGAAAAAAA